AAAUUAUACAGCCAUGUUUAUGAAGUCUACAUUUCCCUUGUCUUGGAUAUAUAUAUAUGGAGAUAUAUAUACAAUUCAAGCAGUUUUAAUUAAGGGUAAUCAUUGGGUUUUUCUGAAACCGGAAAGUCACGAGUCUCUCUCUUUUUUCACUUUCACAUCUCCAGCAAGGAUGGUUGCAAUUUCCCCUUGCAUAAAGGCCCAGGGGACAUUGGAGCCCACAAGAGGGCAUUUUUCCCCACUGGGACAAUAGACCUCUCCACUAGCUCCCUGCUGUUUGAUGCUUUGUCUGGAGCAAGGGAAGCAGAACUUGUGCGAAGGGACGGACGGGCACUGCACAAAAUGGGUGUCCUCCAGCCGCUCGUGGCAGAGGGUGCAGCACAGCGGGGCACUGGCUGCCAGAGAGGAGUCCGGGAGGCUGGCAGGGUGCACUGGCUCCAGUCCUCCUGUGUUGCCUGCUCCCUGGCCCCCCACCUCUCUGGGGCCCAGCCUUCUUUGGUUCAUAGAGGACGGAGAGGGCGGACUGUUGCUAUUCCUCCUGGUAGUGGAGUGAACCUGGUUGGCAUCUUUUGAGGCAUGACUGCCCCCUGCAUUGUCUGCUACUAAGAUCAGGGCUGCCAUGGGGGAUUGGGCAUGCGGGGCAGGUCACACAGGUAGCACGACUGCCGCCGGGACGCGGCCGCCACCGCCACC
rnacentral:antisense_RNA from 1 species